GGUUCUAUAGUGUAAUGGUUAGGAUUCUAACUCCGGCAAUCCCGGUUCGACUCCGGGUAGGACCU